rnacentral:rRNA from 1 species
GAUGAACGCUGGCGGCGUGCCUAAUACAUGCGAGUCGAGCGAACGGACGAGAAGCUUGCUUCUCUGAUGUUAGCGGCGGACGGGUGAGUAACACGUGGAUAACCUACCUAUAAGACUGGGAUAACUUCGGGAAACCGGAGCUAAUACCGGAUAAUAUUUUGAACCGCAUGGUUCAAAAGUGAAAGACGGUCUUGCUGUCACUUAUAGAUGGAUCCGCGCUGCAUUAGCUAGUUGGUAAGGUAACGGCUUACCAAGGCAACGAUGCAUAGCCGACCUGAGAGGGUGAUCGGCCACACUGGAACUGAGACACGGUCCAGACUCCUACGGGAGGCAGCAGUAGGGAAUCUUCCGCAAUGGGCGAAAGCCUGACGGAGCAACGCCGCGUGAGUGAUGAAGGUCUUCGGAUCGUAAAACUCUGUUAUUAGGGAAGAACAUAUGUGUAAGUAACUGUGCACAUCUUGACGGUACCUAAUCAGAAAGCCACGGCUAACUACGUGCCAGCAGCCGCGGUAAUACGUAGGUGGCAAGCGUUAUCGGGAUUUAUUGGGCGUAAAGCGCGCGUAGGCGGUUUUUUAGUCUGAUGUGAAAGCCCACGGCUCAACCGUGGAGGGUCAUUGGAAACUGGAAAACUUGAGUGCAGAAGAGGAAAGUGGAAUUCCAUGUGUAGCGGUGAAAUGCGCAGAGAUAUGGAGGAACACCAGUGGCGAAGGCGACUUUCUGGUCUGUAACUGGCGCUGAUGUGCGAAAGCGUGGGGAUCAAACAGGAUUAGAUACCCUGGUAGUCCACGCCGUAAACGAUGAGUGCUAAGUGUUAGGGGGUUUCCGCCCCUUAGUGCUGCAGCUAACGCAUUAAGCACUCCGCCUGGGGAGUACGACCGCAAGGUUGAAACUCAAAGGAAUUGACGGGGACCCGCACAAGCGGUGGAGCAUGUGGUUUAAUUCGAAGCAACGCGAAGAACCUUACCAAAUCUUGACAUCCUUUGACAACUCUAGAGAUAGAGCCUUCCCCUUCGGGGGACAAAGUGACAGGUGGUGCAUGGUUGUCGUCAGCUCGUGUCGUGAGAUGUUGGGUUAAGUCCCGCAACGAGCGCAACCCUUAAGCUUAGUUGCCAUCAUUAAGUUGGGCACUCUAAGUUGACUGCCGGUGACAAACCGGAGGAAGGUGGGGAUGACGUCAAAUCAUCAUGCCCCUUAUGAUUUGGGCUACACACGUGCUACAAUGGACAAUACAAAGGGCAGCGAAACCGCGAGGUCAAGCAAAUCCCAUAAAGUUGUUCUCAGUUCGGAUUGUAGUCUGCAACUCGACUACAUGAAGCUGGAAUCGCUAGUAAUCGUAGAUCAGCAUGCUACGGUGAAUACGUUCCCGGGUCU